rnacentral:rRNA from 1 species
AUUGAACGCUGGCGGCAGGCCUACACAUGCAAGUCGAGCGGAUGAGGGGAGCUUGCUCCCUGAUUUAGCGGCGGACGGGUGAGUAAUGCCUAGGAAUCUGCCUGGUAGUGGGGGAUAACGUUCCGAAAGGAACGCUAAUACCGCAUACGUCCUACGGGAGAAAGCAGGGGACCUUCGGGCCUUGCGCUAUCAGAUGAGCCUAGGUCGGAUUAGCUAGUUGGUGAGGUAAUGGCUCACCAAGGCGACGAUCCGUAACUGGUCUGAGAGGAUGAUCAGUCACACUGGAACUGAGACACGGUCCAGACUCCUACGGGAGGCAGCAGUGGGGAAUAUUGGACAAUGGGCGAAAGCCUGAUCCAGCCAUGCCGCGUGUGUGAAGAAGGUCUUCGGAUUGUAAAGCACUUUAAGUUGGGAGGAAGGGCUGCUGGUUAAUACCCUGCAGUUUUGACGUUACCAACAGAAUAAGCACCGGCUAACUUCGUGCCAGCAGCCGCGGUAAUACGAAGGGUGCAAGCGUUAAUCGGAAUUACUGGGCGUAAAGCGCGCGUAGGUGGUUUUGUAAGUUGGAGGUGAAAUCCCCGGGCUCAACCUGGGAACUGCCUCCAAAACUGCAUGACUAGAGUACGGUAGAGGGUGGUGGAAUUUCCUGUGUAGCGGUGAAAUGCGUAGAUAUAGGAAGGAACACCAGUGGCGAAGGCGACCACCUGGACUGAUACUGACACUGAGGUGCCGAAAGCGUGGGAGCAACAGGAUUAGAUACCCUGGUAGUCCACGCCGUAAACGAUGUCAACUAGCCGUUGGAAUCCUUGAGAUUUUAGUGGCGCAGCUAACGCAUUAAGUUGACCGCCUGGGGAGUACGGCCGCAAGGUUAAAACUCAAAUGAAUUGACGGGGGCCCGCACAAGCGGUGGAGCAUGUGGUUUAAUUCGAAGCAACGCGAAGAACCUUACCUGGCCUUGACAUGCUGAGAACUUCCCAGAGAUGGAUUGGUGCCUUCGGGAACUCAGACACAGGUGCUGCAUGGCUGUCGUCAGCUCGUGUCGUGAGAUGUUGGGUUAAGUCCCGUAACGAGCGCAACCCUUGUCCUUAGUUACCAGCACCUCGGGUGGGCACUCUAAGGAGACUGCCGGUGACAAACCGGAGGAAGGUGGGGAUGACGUCAAGUCAUCAUGGCCCUUACGGCCAGGGCUACACACGUGCUACAAUGGUCGGUACAAAGGGUUGCCAAGCCGCGAGGUGGAGCUAAUCCCAUAAAACCGAUCGUAGUCCGGAUCGCAGUCUGCAACUCGACUGCGUGAAGUCGGAAUCGCUAGUAAUCGUGAAUCAGAAUGUCACGGUGAAUACGUUCCCGGGCCUUGUACACACCGCCCGUCACACCAUGGGAGUGGGUUGCUCCAGAAGUAGCUAGUCUAACCUUCGGGGGGACGGUUACCACGGAGUGAUUCAUGACUGGGGUGA